AGCAGCCGCGGUAAUUCCAGCUCCAAUAGCGUAUAUUAAAGUUGUUGCAGUUAAAAAGCUCGUAGUUGAAUUUCGGGAUCAGUACACUGGUCAUUCCUUUGGUAUGCACUGGUGUCACUGGUUUCUCCCUUCUGAAGAACCGUGAUGUCAUUAAUUUGGUGUCGCGGGGAAUCAGGACUGUUACUUUGAAAAAUUAGAGUGUUUAAAGCAGGCUCACGCUUGAAUACAUUAGCAUGGAAUAAUGAAAUAGGACGUUUGACCCUAUUUUGUUGGUUUCUAGGAUCGACGUAAUGAUUAAUAGGGAUAGUUGGGGGCAUUAGUAUUCAAUUGUCAGAGGUGAAAUUCUUGGAUUUAUUGAAGACUAACUACUGCGAAAGCAUUUGCCAAGGAUGUUUUCAUUAAUCAAGAACGAAAGUUAGGAGAUCGAAGACGAUCAGAUACCGUCGUAGUCUUAACCAUAAACUAUGCCGACUAGGGAUCGGAUGAUGUUAAUUUUAUAAUGACUCAUUC
rnacentral:rRNA from 1 species